rnacentral:rRNA from 1 species
UCGGGAAUUUUGGGCAAUGGGCGAAAGCCUGACCCAGCAACGCCGCGUGAAGGAUGAAGUAUUUCGGUAUGUAAACUUCGAAAGAAUAGGAAGAAUAAAUGACGGUACUAUUUAUAAGGUCCGGCUAACUACGUGCCAGCAGCCGCGGUAAUACGUAGGGACCAAGCGUUGUUCGGAUUUACUGGGCGUAAAGGGCGCGUAGGCGGCAAUUCAAGUCAUCUGUGAAAUCUCCGGGCUUAACUCGGAACGGUCAGAUGAUACUGCUUUGCUAGAGUGCAGAAGGGGCAAUCGGAAUUCUUGGUGUAGCGGUGAAAUGCGUAGAUAUCAAGAGGAACACCUGAGGUGAAGACGGGUUGCUGGGCUGACACUGACGCUGAGGCGCGAAAGCCAGGGGAGCAAACGGGAUUAGAUACCCAGGUAGUCCCUGAG